rnacentral:rRNA from 1 species
GACGAACGCUGGCGGCGUGCUUAACACAUGCAAGUCGAACGGAAAGGCCCUGCUUUUGUGGGGUGCUCGAGUGGCGAACGGGUGAGUAACACGUGAGUAACCUGCCCUUGACUUUGGGAUAACUUCAGGAAACUGGGGCUAAUACCGGAUAGGAGCUCCUGCUGCAUGGUGGGGGUUGGAAAGUUUCGGCGGUUGGGGAUGGACACGCGGCUUAUCAGCUUGUUGGUGGGGUAGUGGCUUACCAAGGCUUUGACGGGUAGCCGGCCUGAGAGGGUGACCGGCCACAUUGGGACUGAGAUACGGCCCAGACUCCUACGGGAGGAAGCAGUGGGGAAUAUUGCACAAUGGGCGGAAGCCUGAUGCAGCAACGCCGCGUGCGGGAUGACGGCCUUCGGGUUGUAAACCGCUUUCGCCUGUGACGAAGCGUGAGUGACGGUAAUGGGUAAAGAAGCACCGGCUAACUACGUG